rnacentral:rRNA from 1 species
UGGGGAAUUUUGGACAAUGGGCGAAAGCCUGAUCCAGCAAUGCCGCGUGUGUGAAGAAGGCCUUCGGGUUGUAAAGCACUUUUGUCCGGAAAGAAAUCCUUGGCUCUAAUACAGUCGGGGGAUGACGGUACCGGAAGAAUAAGCACCGGCUAACUACGUGCCAGCAGCCGCGGUAAUACGUAGGGUGCAAGCGUUAAUCGGAAUUACUGGGCGUAAAGCGUGCGCAGGCGGUUUGCUAAGACCGAUGUGAAAUCCCCGGGCUCAACCUGGGAACUGCAUUGGUGACUGGCAGGCUAGAGUAUGGCAAAGGGGGGUAGAAUUCCACGUGUAGCAGUGAAAUGCGUAGAGAUGUGGAGGAAUACCGAUGGCGAAGGCAGCCCCCUGGGCCAAUACUGACGCUCAUGCACGAAAGGCGCGGGGAGCAAACAGGAUUAGAUACCCUGGUAGUCCACGCCCU